UGCUUCAUUUGAUUUGGUUCAUGUAGGUUCAUUGGGGUCCAUAUAAAGUAGCAUUUGAUGGUAACAAGUAUUUUCUAACAGUGGUUGAUGAUUUUUCCAGAACUACGUAUUUGUUUUGCUCAAACUCAAGUCUGAUGUCUGCAUUAUUCUUCAAUAGUUCAUAAUGCGUGUAAGAGCCUAAUUUAACAAAAUAAUUAAAGUCAUCAGAAUUGAUAAUGACACUGCAUUUAUCAAUACAACAUGCAACACUAUGUUCAACAGUCCUGGGAUAAUUCAUCAGAAAACUUGUGAUUGCAUUCCACAACAGUAUGGUGUGGCUGAAAGAAAGCACAGACAUAUUUUAGAAGUCACACGAGCAAUUAGAUUUUAGGGAUACAUACCAAUAAAGUUUUAGGGAUAUUCUGUCCUAGUUGCAACCUAUCUGAUUUAUAGAAUGCAACUUCUAUACUUGCAGAAAAAUCUCUAUAUGAAAAACUUUAUGGGAAGAAGCCUUCACUAAAAUAUCUUAAAGUACUGGGAUACUUAUGUUAUGCUAUAAUAGUUCAAGAUCGGAAUAAACUGAUGCCUAGAUACAAGGCAGUCAUUUAUAUGGGAUAUGCUGCUACUUAGGAAGGAUAUCUUCUGUAUGACAUUAGUAACAAGGCCUUCUUCGUCAACACAAAUGUUGUCUUCAAAGAAUUUCAAAACUCUCAACCAAACCAAGGUUCAACCUAUAUUCAUGCCCAACAACUUUCAACAUGUAUAAGAUGAAUCAACCAACAUUCCAUUACUGAGGUAAGCCGGGAAACUGCCGAACAAAUUCACAGUGAUAUUCAAACAAAUGAACUUGGUGAUUUACAUAGUGGUUCAGAAGAAUCAAAUCAACAAAGUCCAACAUUCUCAUUUGACAUACAAUACACAACCACAGAAGCAUUUUAACAAAACACAACCUCUGAAAUAUCAACUGAGACAUUACCUUCAAAUGCUAUUCAUCCAGCUGUUCGAUAUAAUAGACUUUGAGGAAAUCAAAUAAAGACAAACGACCACCACUCUGGAUGAAAGACUUUGUGUAUGUAAAUAUUCACCACGAGCCUCCCUAUGCUCUCUUUAAGUUCAUCACUUAUGAAAACAUAUCUCCUAUAUAUAAAUAUUUUAUUGCUACAUCUUCCUCUGUCUUUGAACCUACAAACUACUCAGAGGCUAUCAAAGAUCCUAGAUGGAUAGAUGCCAUGAAUGCUGAGAUUAAAACCUUAAAAAAUAAUCAUACUUAGGAUAUAGUUCCACUACCUGAAGUUAAAACACCAAUAGGAUACAAGUGGAUUUACAAAAUAAAGCAUAAAUAUACAUGGGAGAUUGAAAGGUUUAAAACUAUAUUGGUAACAAAAUGAUUUAGCAUUAGAACUGAUUUCUGAAACAUGUAUGGGAGAAGCCAAACCUGUCAUAACACCCUGAGAUUUCAACAUGAAGUUAACUAUUAAAGAAUAUUAUUAAUAUUUCAAGAAAGACAAGAAUAUGAUCUCAAAAGAUGCAGAACUAGUGGAUCAAUUCAAAUCCUUAUUUGAAGCUUAUUGGCAAACUCUUAUACCUAACCAUGACUCGACCCUACAUCUCUUUUAGUGUUCAAAUAUUAAGUCUAGAAGACUAAAAAAUCUCAUAUGGAUGUUGCACUUAGAAUUAUAAAAUAUUUGAAGCAACAACCAGGCAUAUGAAUUCUACUAUCCAGCAAAUACAUCAAUGAUGUUACAACAUAAUGUGAUGGUGACUGUGUAGCUUGCCCCACUCUAGAAAAUCUGUCUGGUUAUUUGAUUAAACUUGGUGAGUCCUGGGUUUCCUGGAAAUCUAGGAAAUAGACUAAUGUCUCCAGAAAACUCAGCAGAAACUAAAUAUAGGAGUCUUGUAUCAAUAGUAGCAGUGUUACACCUCCUUUUUCCGCAGCCGUAGGGGUAAAGGAGUUUUUUCCAAUUAAAGGAAAAUCGAAACGAUAUUUAUUAUUAAGAUUCAAAGUCGUCACUUGGGAGGUUUAUGGUGUCCCAAGUCACUGGUUGAAUCCCGAAUCGAGGAAGAGAAUGACUCUGUUUAACAAUCCGCGAACCAGAUAUCCGGAUAAGGAAUUAUGUUAACCUGGGAGAAGGUGUUAGGCAUUCCCGAGUUCCAUGGUUCAAGCACGGUCGCUCAACUAUCAUAUUUAGCUUAUUUAACUGAUUUUAUACAUGUUGUUACUUUUGUACCGAUCUUAAAUUUUAAUCACUUUUAUUCAAGUUAUUAAAGCAAACUGAAUUAAUUAUUUACAACUAUUUGAAACUAGAUUUAACCUUAAUUACUAAAGCUUAUUCGAGAAUUUAAAACUUAAACGUUGACUCGUCUUGCUAAAACUCGCACCUAUUGGAUUAACGUUCUUAGCCUUGUUACAUUGAAUCACACAUUAAACGCAUCAAACCUACUGAUUCUACGAAAUUACUGACCUAUUAUAUUUGCCUAAUAUUUGCGGACCUUCUUUGCUAACAAGAUUCAAAGUGGACCCCAAGUCCCCCCUUUUAGUGGUCAAAGAAGACCUUUUAUUAUUACCCUUUUACUUUGCAUCAUUAUGCUUUGUCCCCCACUAACCCUUGUCCCCUCUUAUUUUAAUUAAAAGUUAUGGGUCCACAUUUAAUCGAUUCCCAAAAUACCCCCGAAAUUACUAUUCUACCCCCAUCAGCUAUAACCAAUUCACCUAAUCAAUUAACCAAGAUACGUCAAUUAUAACCAAUUCCUAAUCAAAUUCAAUCAACAAAUUCAAACUUUAUGAUGAACAACAAAGAACCAACUGAAAUUAUAUUGACUGAACAACAUUUUUAACAACAAACAUACUUUCAGAUUUAACAACAAUAACAAACAAGUAGAUUCAAAUCACUAAGUUUAGAUUCAAAUUAACUUAAAAUAACAAAUAAACAAAUUCAAAUCACAAAACUCAAUAAUCAAUUGAACCUCAAACUAGAUCCGACAAUAUUACAACCAAGAUGAAGGAUUCAAGUGAUUAAACUAACACACUUCUAUAUUAAAACUAAAUUCUUUUAAUGAAUAAAAACAAACUGAAAAAAUAAACAAGAAAUGAUAAACAACGAACAUGAAAAGAAUCAAAAAUAUACUCAUUUCCAAUCUAAGAAUAUCAAACAAAAUACGUACAGAAAUGAAACUUAAACCGACUAACCGGAGCAGAACAACGACGAACUCGAACGGAAAACUGUUGUUCUGCCCGGCAACCUCAAGUGGAACGGCACACACCCAAACGAAAGAGCUAGAGUCCAACAAACAGAUUUUUCGAGGACAAAACGAAAAGAAAUCUGUCCGGCAAAUGGAGUCACCAACAAUGAUGAUACUGAGCAAUGUAUCGAGAGACUGAGAGUCGCUGAAACUUGGACAUUUCCAGCGACUGGAGGAGUCGGUUUUGAGGGUUUUCAGUUAGGGUUUUAGGGUUUGGUUACUUGGUUAAGAGAACAAAAAGAAUCUGAAAAGUCAAAAGGGAG
rnacentral:lncRNA from 1 species